CAGCAACAAAGAGAAAGUGAAAGAAACUCUUUUGUUAUAGUGUUCUCUUUGGUUAUAACCAUUUUCAAAUUUCUAGCCAUUCUGUACUGUGUUGUUUGUGUUUGCUGACAGUUUCAAUGAAGUUGGUUGUUGCCGGUUGCCGUGUGGCGACAUUGGUGAAGGAAGGGACAACAAAGCUUUUUGGGGACGAAGCUUUCUAUCAUAAAAAUACGCCACAAUGCAUCAGACAAACUCUACAGUUCUUGUGCCAAUAUAUGGGUGACCCCCCUGACUAAAUCACAUCCAACAUAACCACUCUGCUCUUAAAUCACAAUCAAUUAUGUUUGUUGUGGGAUUUUGAUGUUGGCAAGCCAUAACUAGCUAUCAAAAUUUGACAAGCAAUUUGAAACUGAAGUAGGUCAAUCACUUAUUGCUUAGCCUACCAACAAGCCCAUUGUUUUGUUGGCCCAAGAUAAUGGACCCAUGAUCUUUGGGUUAUACUCUUCUUCCAGGGAUGGACAUGGAACAUGGAAAGAAUCUAUACCAGUAUCUUAUUUGGUCC